ensembl:lncRNA
GGGACAGGGUAAGUUGAGCAUAGGGACAGGGUACGUUGAGCAUAGGGACAGGGUAAGUUGAGCAUAGGGACAGGGUAAGUAGAGCAUAGGGACAGGGUAAGUUGAGCAUAGAGACAGGGUAAGUUGAGCAUAGGGACAGGGUAAGUAGAGCAUAGGGACAGGGUAAGUAGAGCAUAGGGAGGGACAGGGUAGAGCAUAGGGACAGGGUAAGUAGAGCAUAGGGACAGGGUAAGUAGAGCAUAGGGACAGGGUAAGUAGAGCAUAGGGACAGGGUAAGGAGAGCAUAGGGACAGGGUAAGGAGAGCAUAGGGACAGGGUAAAGAGAGCAUAGGGACAGGGUAGGUUGAGCCAACUUGGGGUAAGUGGGUGAUUGUGUCCUGUGACAGUGGGGGCUGGUGCAUGUUCUCAGAGCGUAAGACAUUAAUGUUCUAGACACAUUUCAUGGGAAUGUUGCAAGAACAUUCAUGUGUCCAGGUUCCUAAGGGUUAGGAGAAUGUUCCGCCCGUCCAAACAUACUGUAUACAGAAGAUGGUUGCCAUGUUCUCAGAACAUAAGAUAGUAAUGUUCUAGUAACGUUUCAUGGGAACAUUGCAAAAACAGUGUGUAAAAAAAAAAAUCCAUUACACAUCCUGUUGCUGAGCCAAUCAAGGCCCUGAUCAGUGAACCACUGAGAGCUCUUUGUCUGUUGGCAGAGUUGGGUAUACUCUCACACACAGUGAAUAAUUGAACUUGCAAAGUGUAAUCAUGUGUGUCAAAUAUGUAAGUUAUAAGCACUAACUCUUAUUCAACAUGUCCUCACCUGGGAUUUGAACUCACAACCUCUUGGUCUACAGUACUCCAAUCUUCCUGCUCUCAAUAGUUAGAUGAAUGGAUAUCAGGCAGGGACAUGGUGGCCAUGUCCGUGUCAGAUAUCCAUUAAUCUGAAGAUUGUGUCAUCAUUGAUUUGAUUGACUUAUUUCACAGCAAUUUAAGGACUUUGUGUAUAGGUGUCUAAUGUUGGUGGGGCAUAUAAACCUGUUUUACUGAUACUCCUGAAUCACUAUUAUCAAUAAAAUACUUUUAACAGAGCUGGAAUUUAGUUUGAAAGUGCAUUCACCCUACUACUUACACCCAUCAAGUUGUUUCAGAUCUACACAAGUGUGUAGGGAAGAGAGGUUAGGGUUUCUUCUGGACAGGACCUAACUGUACUAGACUAUAGACUAGACUAUAGACUAACUAUACAUGCCCUAGAGAUAACCCUUAUUGGGAAAGUGGUUAGGGUGUUUGUCAUUAAUGAUGCUGGCCUGGGCUUGAGACCUGCUAAGGGAGUCAUCCUACGCUCACGUUCUCAGCACUAUAUGUUAAUGACAGUUACAACACACUUAUCUGUUCUAAUUCAAAUGAGUUUGAAAGAUGGGAAUCUGUAGGAUUACCUUUGAGCACUAAAUGAUGACCAUAUUUCCACUACCUCUCAUAUGUUAUCAGUAUUUAUUCAUUCUAUACAGCUACCUAGAUUAAAUAAAGGUUCAAUGAAAUCAAUUGUUUUCUUGAAAUCCACACCGUUCAAAAAUUGGAUUUAGCAGCUGCAGAUUGCAGAUUAACAUAUUGUGAUGUCUGCUUUGUCCCAAGUGAUUCUGUUGCAAUCUGUCUGUUUUUCCACAUUAAAACUUGGAGA